rnacentral:rRNA from 1 species
GACGAACGCUGGCGGCGUGCUUAACACAUGCAAGUCGAACGAUGACGACCGAGCUUGCUCGGUCUGAUUAGUGGCGAACGGGUGAGUAACACGUGAGCAACCUGCCCUUCACUCUGGGAUAACCUCGGGAAAUCGGGGCUAAUACCGGAUAUGAGCUCCUGUCGCAUGGCGGGUGUUGGAAAGUUUUUCGGUGAAGGAUGGGCUCGCGGCCUAUCAGUUUGUUGGUGAGGUAGUGGCUCACCAAGGUGAUGACGGGUAGCCGGCCUGAGAGGGCGACCGGCCACACUGGGACUGAGACACGGCCCAGACUCCUACGGGAGGCAGCAGUGGGGAAUAUUGCACAAUGGGCGAAAGCCUGAUGCAGCGACGCCGCGUGAGGGAUGACGGCCUUCGGGUUGUAAACCUCUUUCAGCAGGGAAGAAGCGAAAGUGACGGUACCUGCAGAAGAAGCGCCGGCUAACUACGUG